rnacentral:rRNA from 1 species
CAGCCGCCACGGUAAUACAGAGGGUGCGAGCGUUAAUCGGAUUUACUGGGCGUAAAGCGUGCGUAGGCGGCUAAUUGAGUCGGAUGUGAAAUCCCCGAGCUUAACUUGGGAAUUGCAUUCGAUACUGGUUAGCUAGAGUGUGGGAGAGGAUGGUAGAAUUCCAGGUGUAGCGGUGAAAUGCGUAGAGAUCUGGAGGAAUACCGAUGGCGAAGGCAGCCAUCUGGCCUAACACUGACGCUGAGGUACGAAAGCAUGGGGAGCAAACAGGAUUAGAUACCCGGGUAGUCCCUGUCUCUUAUAU